GACGAACGCUGGCGGCGUGCUUAACACAUGCAAGUCGAACGAAGUGGCGAACGGGUGAGUAACGCGUAAUCAACCUGACCUUCAGAGGGGGACACCAGUUGGAAACGACUGCUACUACCGAAUACCCACGGAGGCGAUUGCGUCGGAUUCGCUAGUUGGAGGGGUAACGGCCCACCCAGGCGAUGAUCAGUAGCCGGGCUGAGAGGGUGGACGGCCACAGUGGGACUGGGACACGGCCCAGACUCCUACGGGAGGCAGCAGUCGGGAAUCUGCGGCAAUGGACGAAAGUCGUACGGGGCAACGCCGCGGGAGUGAUGACGGCUUUCGGGUUGUAAAACUCUGUUAGUCAGGACGCGGUACCGGAAUAGAAAGCCACGGCUAGCUACGUGCCAGCCGCCGCGGUAAUAC
rnacentral:rRNA from 1 species